GAAAUGCGAUAAGUAAUGUGAAUUGCAGAAUUCAGUGAAUCAUGGAAUCUUUGAACGCACCUUGCGCUCCUUGGUAUUCCUUGGAGCAUGCCUGUUUGAGUAUCAUGAAAUCUUCAAAGUAAAUCUUUUGUUAACUCAAUUGGUUUCUACUUUGGUAUUGGAGGUCUUUGCAGCUUCACACCUGCUCCUCUUUGUUCAUUAGCUGGAUCUCAGUGUUAUGCUUGGUUCCACUCGGCGUGAUAAGUUAUCUAUCGCUGAGGACACUGUAAAAGGUGGCCAAGGUAAAUGCAGAUGAACCGCUUCUAAUAGUCCAUUGACUUGGACAAUACUUUUAUGAUCUGAUCUCAAAUCAGGUAGGACUACCCGCUGAACUUAAGC
rnacentral:misc_RNA from 1 species